GGGUCCCAGGGGGGUCCCCAGGCCGGGGGUCCGCUCUCACCGCGCAGCAGAGCCCUCACGAAGCGCCCGGCUCCCGGCACCGCCAGCCACCAACUCCCGGCAUCGCGCACGGUCAGGAGCCCCGCGGCCACCAGAGCCCUGCCGGGGCCACCAAAACCCGGCUGUGGCCACCAAAACCCUCCUGUGGCCACCAAAAUCCGGCUGUGGCCACCAAAACCUGGCUGUGGCCACCAGAACCUGUCUGGGGCCACCAAAACCUGUCUGGGGCCACCAGAACCCUGCUGGGGCCACCAGAGCCCGGCUGUGGCCACCAAAACCUGGCUGUGGCCACCAGAACCCGGCUGGGGCCACCAAAACCCAGCUGGGGCCACCAGAACCUGGCUGUGGCCACCAGAACCCGGCUGGGGCCACCAAAACCCGGCUGUGGCCACCAGAACCCAGCUGUGGCCACCAGAACCUGGCUGUGGCCACCAGAACCCAGCCAGGGCCACCAGAGCCCUGCCGGGGCCACCAAAACCCGGCUGGGGCCACCAAAACCCGGCUGUGGCCACCAAAACCCGGCUGGGGCCACCAGAGCCCUGCCGGGGCCACCAAAACCCGGCUGGGGCCACCAAAACCCUCCUGUGGCCACCAAAACCCUCCUGUGGCCACCAGAGCCCUGCCGGGGCCACCAGAGCCCUGCCGGGGCCACCAGAACCCGGCUGUGGCCACCAAAACCUGGCUGUGGCCACCAGAACCCCCCAGAGCCACCCUGGGGGUCCCAAACCCCACCCUGGGCUGUCCCCAGGUCCCCCCAGGUGUCCCCAGGUGUCCCCCCAUGACCCCCAGGUGUCCCCAAAUGUCCCCAGGUGUCCCCAGGUGUGUUUUUGGUGUCCCCAGGUGAGGUUUUGGUGUCCCCAGGUGUUCCCAGGUGUGUUCCAGAUGUGUCCUCUCUAUCCCAGGUGUCUCAGGUGUAUCUCAAAUCCCCCCAGCUGUCCCCAGGUGAGGUUUGGGGUGUCCCAGGUGUGUUCCAGGUGUCCCCAGGUGUGUUUUUGGUGUCCUCAGGUGAGGUUUUGGUGUCCCCAGGUCCCCCCAGGUGUCCCCAGGUGUGUUUUUGGUGUCCCCAGGUGUGUUUUUGGUGUCCCCAGGUGUGUUUUUGGUGUCCC
rnacentral:lncRNA from 1 species